GUUGUCAUGGUGAGAGGUCAGAACAGUGGUCAGUAGGUUUAGUUGUCAUGGUGAGAGGUCAGAACAGUGGUCAGUAGGUUUAGUUGUCAUGGUGAGAGGUCAGAGCAGCGGUCAGUAGGCUUAGUUGUCAGUAGGUGAGAGGUCAGAGCAGCGGUCAGUAGGCUUAGUUGUCAGUAGGUGAGAGGUCAGAGCAGCGGUCAGUAGGCUUAGUUGUCAGUAGGUGAGAGGUCAGAGCAGUGGUCAGUAGGCUUAGUUGUCAGUGGGUGAGAGGUCAGAGCAUUGGUCAGGAGGUUUAGUUGUCAGUAGGUGAGAGGUCAGAGCAGUGGUCAGUAGGGAUAGUUGUCAGUAGGUGAGAGGUCAGAGCAGUGGUCAGUAGGGAUAGUUGUCAGUAGGUGAGAGGUCAGAGCAGUGGUCAGUAGGGCUAGUUGUCAGUAGGUGAAAUAUCCUGAAGAACAGGACGAUCAUAUGCAUGCAAUUAUCUGGCCCGGCCUGUGUCGUCUGGCUUGAAGAAUGGAGGGAGUCUUGCAUUGGGAUCCAUCCCGGC
ensembl:lncRNA